UAGAUGGGCGAUAGCACGUUGAAUACAUUACUUUAAAUUUGAUUACUGAAGUUAAGAAACGUAGCAUGUGGUUGGGAUCCGGAUGGGUGACCAUCAGGGAAAUCACGUGUUUCUCACU
rnacentral:rRNA from 1 species